rnacentral:rRNA from 1 species
AACGAACGCUGGCGGCAGGCUUAACACAUGCAAGUCGAACGAGAUCUUCGGAUCUAGUGGCAGACGGGUGAGGAACACGUGGGAACAUCCCUUUCAGUUCGGAAUAACGUUGGGAAACUAACGCUAAUACCGGAUACGUCCUUCGGGAGAAAGAUUUAUCGCUGAAAGAUUGGCCCGCGUCUGAUUAGCUAGUUGGUGAGGUAACGGCUCACCAAGGCUACGUUCAGUAGCUGAUCUGAGAGGAUGAUGAGCCACAUUGGGACUGAGACACGGCCCAAACUCCUACGGGAGGCAGCAGUAGGGAAUAUUGGACAGUGGGCGCGAGCCUGAUCCAGCCAUGCCGCAUGAGUGAUGACGGCCUUCGGGUUGUAAAGCUCUUUUGUCCGGGAAGAUAAUGACUGUACCGGAAGAAUAAGCCCCGGCAAACUUCGUGCCAGCAGCCGCCGUAA